rnacentral:rRNA from 1 species
UACAGAGGGUGCGAGCGUUAAUCGGAAUUACUGGGCGUAAAGGGCGCGUAGGUGGUUUAUUAAGAUGGAUGUGAAAUCCCUGGGCUUAACCUAGGAACGGCAUCGAUGACUGAUAAGCUAGAGUACUGUAGAGGGUAGUGGAAUUUCCGGUGUAGCGGUGAAAUGCGUAGAGAUCGGAAGGAACACCGGUGGCGAAGGCGGCUACCUGGACAGCUACUGACACUGAGGCGCGAGAGCGUGGGGAGCAAACAGG